rnacentral:rRNA from 1 species
AGCAGCCGCGGUAAUUCCAGCUCCAAUAGCGUAUAUUAAAGUUGUUGCAGUUAAAAAGCUCGUAGUUGAAUUUCGGGAUCAAUACGUCGGUCGUGCUUCGGUACGUACUGGUGUCAUUGAUUUCUCCCUUCUGACAAACCAUGAUGUCAUUAACUUGGUGUCAUGGGAAAUCAGGACUGUUACUUUGAAAAAUUAGAGUGUUUAAAGCAGGCUCACGCUUGAAUACAUUAGCAUGGAAUAAUGAAAUAGGACGUUCGAUCCUAUUUUGUUGGUUUCUAGGAUCAACGUAAUGAUUAAUAGGGAUAGUUGGGGGCAUUAGUAUUCAAUUGUCAGAGGUGAAAUUCUUGGAUUUAUUGAAGACUAACUACUGCGAAAGCAUUUGCCAAGGAUGUUUUCAUUAAUCAAGAACGAAAGUUAGGGGAUCGAAGACGAUCAGAUACCGUCGUAGUC